AUAUAUACAGUGUUGAGAGUAUGCAUCAAUUGUGGGAUUGUAUAGGACUCACUUGCACAUAGUUAUAUCGCAAUUCUUUGACUCUUUCUGAAUUGCGUUCAAA